rnacentral:rRNA from 1 species
UACGUAGGGGGCAAGCGUUAUCCGGAUUUACUGGGUGUAAAGGGGGCGCAGACGGCGAUGCAAGCCAGGAGUGAAAGCCCGGGGCCCAACCCCGGGACUGCUCUUGGAACUGCGUGGCUGGAGUGCAGGAGGGGCAGGCGGAAUUCCUGGUGUAGCGGUGAAAUGCGUAGAUAUCAGGAGGAACACCAGUGGCGAAGGCGGCUUUCUGGACGACAACUGACGCUGAGGCGCGAGAGUGUGGGGAGCAAACAGG